rnacentral:rRNA from 1 species
GAUGAACGCUAGCGACAGGCUUAACACAUGCAAGUCGAGGGGCAGCACGGCGGUGGCAACACUGCUGGUGGCGACCGGCGCACUGGUGAGUAACACGUAUGCAACCUGCCCCGCACAGGGGGAUAAUCCGCGGAAACGCGGUCUAAUACCCCGUAGAACCUUUGGUCGCAUGAUUAGAGGUGGAAAGCUCCGGUGGUGCGGGAUGGGCAUGCGUCGCAUUAGCUGGUUGGUGAGGUAACGGCUCACCAAGGCGACGAUGCGUAGGGGUUCUGAGAGGAAGGUCCCCCACACUGGUACUGAGACACGGACCAGACUCC